rnacentral:rRNA from 1 species
CACGUAGGGUGCGAGCGUUGUCCGGAAUUAUUGGGCGUAAAGAGCUCGUAGGCGGUGUGUCGCGUCGGCCGUGAAAACCUGCAGCUUAACUGUGGGCUUGCGGUCGAUACGGGCAUCACUGGAGUUCGGCAGGGAGACUGGAAUUCCUGGUGUAGCGGUGAAAUGCGCAGAUAUCAGGAGGAACACCGGUGGCCGAAGGCGGGUCUCUGGGCCGAUACUG